AGCCCUUUCCCUAUACUAUCUUACUUCCUAUUUCUGUGGUUUAUGAAAAAUUGCAGUAAAUUGCUAAUAAAUUGCUUACGUCAUUGUUGCUCCCGGGUCAGCAGUCAUCUGGUUAGUUACAAACACAGCCACAUUAUAUUCUGCAGUGAAAACAAGGUCCAAGGGAAGAUGAUAAAUAUAAAGAGAAAAUUCAUUAUGUUUCCUCCUAGAAUGUUUUUAAGCAUUUCUAGUAAUAAAUGGUGAACUAUGCUUAUUAAAGUUCCCGUAAUAUUGAAAAAUAUUAACUGCGUUUUAAUCACCUAUCACAUUUUUGUUACAUUUUAUGGUGGAGUGGAGGUGUGAAAUACAUUUCCCACAACCAAACUUGACACUUAUCUACUACACUAUACUUGCUCUCCUGGCAGUAUAUUAUUUGGUGAAAAUGCCGGUGCUUAAAGAAGAAGAAGAAAAAAGAUAAUAGCCUUGGGCUACACUAACAGUUAUUUUUCAGUCAUCUAAAAGCAUGGUAUUCUGCCUUACAUGCUUCUCAUACCUUCUGAUAUUUUUUGAAGCCUUGACAGCAUCUGAGCAAGCUUCUGUUGCCUUUCAGCCAGUUCCCCCCGACCACUGAAGUCCACGCGGAAUAGCGCCAUAAUGGAAUCGAUUACCUGCAAAGAAAUAGUAGAGAGGGAGGGGAUGUGAAAGGAUAAAAAAUUACUUGGAAAACAUUCAAGAUAUAUAAAUGAACAGCACAAUCUUA